rnacentral:rRNA from 1 species
AAUCCAUAGGUUAAUGAGGCGAACCGGGGGAACUGAAACAUCUAAGUACCCCGAGGAAAAGAAAUCAACCGAGAUUCCCCCAGUAGCGGCGAGCGAACGGGGAGGAGCCCAGAGCCUGAAUCAGCAUGUGUGUUAGUGGAAGCGUCUGGAAAGGCGCGCGAUACAGGGUGACAGCCCCGUACACAAAAGCGCAUGUGCUGUGAGCUCGAUGAGUAGGGCGGGACACGUGGUAUCCUGUCUGAAUAUGGGGGGACCAUCCUCCAAGGCUAAAUACUCCUGACUGACCGAUAGUGAACCAGUACCGUGAGGGAAAGGCGAAAAGAACCCCGGCGAGGGGAGUGAAAAAGAACCUGAAACCGUGUACGUACAAGCAGUGGGAGCACCCUUUGGGUGUGACUGCGUACCUUUUGUAUAAUGGGUCAGCGACUUAUAUUCUGUAGCAAGGUUAACCGAAUAGGGGAGCCGGAGGGAAACCGAGUCUUAACCGGGCGUUAAGUUGCAGGGUAUAGACCCGAAACCCGGUGAUCUAGCCAUGGGCAGGUUGAAGGUUGGGUAACACUAACUGGAGGACCGAACCGACUAAUGUUGAAAAAUUAGCGGAUGACCUGUGGCUGGGGGUGAAAGGCCAAUCAAACCGGGAGAUAGCUGGUUCUCCCCGAAAGCUAUUUAGGUAGCGCCUCGUGAAUUCAUCUCCGGGGGUAGAGCACUGUUUCGGCUAGGGGGCCAUCCCGGCUUACCAACCCGAUGCAAACUGCGAAUACCGGAGAAUGUUAUCACGGGAGACACACGGCGGGUGCUAACGUCCGUCGUGAAGAGGGAAACAACCCAGACCGCCAGCUAAGGUCCCAAAGUCAUGGUUAAGUGGGAAACGAUGUGGGAAGGCCCAGACAGCCAGGAUGUUGGCUUAGAAGCAGCCAUCAUUUAAAGAAAGCGUAAUAGCUCACUGGUCGAGUCGGCCUGCGCGGAAGAUGUAACGGGGCUAAACCAUGCACCGAAGCUGCGGCAGCGACACUGUGUGUUGUUGGGUAGGGGAGCGUUCUGUAAGCCUGUGAAGGUGUGUCGUGAGGCAUGCUGGAGGUAUCAGAAGUGCGAAUGCUGACAUAAGUAACGAUAAAGCGGGUGAAAAGCCCGCUCGCCGGAAGACCAAGGGUUCCUGUCCAACGUUAAUCGGGGCAGGGUGAGUCGACCCCUAAGGCGAGGCCGAAAGGCGUAGUCGAUGGGAAACGGGUUAAUAUUCCCGUACUUGGUGUUACUGCGAAGGGGGGACGGAGAAGGCUAUGUUGGCCGGGCGACGGUUGUCCCGGUUUAAGCGUGUAGGUGUGUGUUCCAGGUAAAUCCGGUUCACUUUAACACUGAGGCGUGACGACGAGGCACUACGGUGCUGAAGCAACAAAUGCCCUGCUUCCAGGAAAAGCCUCUAAGCAUCAGGUAACAUCAAAUCGUACCCCAAACCGACACAGGUGGUCAGGUAGAGAAUACCAAGGCGCUUGAGAGAACUCGGGUGAAGGAACUAGGCAAAAUGGUGCCGUAACUUCGGGAGAAGGCACGCUGACACGUAGGUGAAGUGAUUUACUCAUGGAGCUGAAGUCAGUCGAAGAUACCAGCUGGCUGCAACUGUUUAUUAAAAACACAGCACUGUGCAAACACGAAAGUGGACGUAUACGGUGUGACGCCUGCCCGGUGCCGGAAGGUUAAUUGAUGGGGUCAGCGCAAGCGAAGCUCCUGAUCGAAGCCCCGGUAAACGGCGGCCGUAACUAUAACGGUCCUAAGGUAGCGAAAUUCCUUGUCGGGUAAGUUCCGACCUGCACGAAUGGCGUAAUGAUGGCCAGGCUGUCUCCACCCGAGACUCAGUGAAAUUGAACUCGCUGUGAAGAUGCAGUGUACCCGCGGCAAGACGGAAAGACCCCGUGAACCUUUACUAUAGCUUGACACUGAACAUUGAGCCUUGAUGUGUAGGAUAGGUGGGAGGCUUUGAAGUGUGGACGCCAGUCUGCAUGGAGCCGACCUUGAAAUACCACCCUUUAAUGUUUGAUGUUCUAACGUGGACCCGUUACCCGGGUUGCGGACAGUGUCUGGUGGGUAGUUUGACUGGGGCGGUCUCCUCCUAAAGAGUAACGGAGGAGCACGAAGGUUGGCUAAUCCUGGUCGGACAUCAGGAGGUUAGUGCAAUGGCAUAAGCCAGCUUGACUGCGAGCGUGACGGCGCGAGCAGGUGCGAAAGCAGGUCAUAGUGAUCCGGUGGUUCUGAAUGGAAGGGCCAUCGCUCAACGGAUAAAAGGUACUCCGGGGAUAACAGGCUGAUACCGCCCAAGAGUUCAUAUCGACGGCGGUGUUUGGCACCUCGAUGUCGGCUCAUCACAUCCUGGGGCUGAAGUAGGUCCCAAGGGUAUGGCUGUUCGCCAUUUAAAGUGGUACGCGAGCUGGGUUUAGAACGUCGUGAGACAGUUCGGUCCCUAUCUGCCGUGGGCGCUGGAGAACUGAGGGGGGCUGCUCCUAGUACGAGAGGACCGGAGUGGACGCAUCACUGGUGUUCGGGUUGUCAUGCCAAUGGCACUGCCCGGUAGCUAAAUGCGGAAGAGAUAAGUGCUGAAAGCAUCUAAGCACGAAACUUGCCCCGAGAUGAGUUCUCCCUGAGACUUAAAGUCUCCUGAAGGAACGUUGAAGACGACGACGUUGAUAGGCCGGGUGUGUAAGCGCAGCGAUGCGUUGAGCUAACCGGUACUAAUGAACCGUGAGGCUUAACCUUACAACGCC